CAAUAGCGUAUAUUAAAGUUGUUGCAGUUAAAAAGCUCGUAGUUGGAUUUGUGGCGUACGGUGUGUUCCGGGCACUUGUUGUCUGAGUAACCUGCUGUUGCCAUUCUUGGGUGGAACCUGUGUGGCAUUAGGUUGUCGUGCAGGGGAUGCCCAUCAUUUACUGUGAAAAAAUUAGAGUGUUCAAAGCAGGCUUAUGCCGUUGAAUAUAUUAGCAUGGAAUAAUGAGAUAGGACUUUUUUGCUAUUUUGUUGGUUUGCGCAAAGAGGUAAUGAUUAAUAGGGACAGUUGGGGGUAUUCGUAUUCCAUUGUCAGAGGUGAAAUUCUUGGAUUUCUGGAAGACGAACUACUGCGAAAGCAUUUACCAAGGAUGUUUUCAUUAA
rnacentral:rRNA from 1 species